GACGAACGCUGGCGGCGUGCUUAACACAUGCAAGUCGAACGGAAAGGCCCUGCUUUUGUGGGGUGCUCGAGUGGCGAACGGGUGAGUAACACGUGAGUAACCUGCCCUUGACUUUGGGAUAACUUCAGGAAACUGGGGCUAAUACCGGAUAGGAGCUCCUGCUGCAUGGUGGGGGUUGGAAAGUUUCGGCGGUUGGGGAUGGACUCGCGGCUUAUCAGCUUGUUGGUGGGGUAGUGGCUUACCAAGGCUUUGACGGGUAGCCGGCCUGAGAGGGUGACCGGCCACAUUGGGACUGAGAUACGGCCCAGACUCCUACGGGAGGCAGCAGUGGGGAAUAUUGCCCAACGGGCGGAAGCCUGAUGCAGCAACGCCGCGUGCGGGAUGACGGCCUUCGGGUUGUAAACCGCUUUCGCCUGUGACGAAGCGUGAGUGACGGUAAUGGGUAAAGAAGCACCGGCUAACUACGUG
rnacentral:rRNA from 1 species